rnacentral:lncRNA from 1 species
UUCUACUGGUCCCCGUUAGUCCACGUAGGUACCCAAGCAGUUAACAUCACGUAAGACUUUAUUGCUACGUUUACUGAUUGAUACACGCGUGCGAUGCUGGUGCUAUGGCGGGGUCCAAAUCCAACAAAUAUCCCCGUCGGCCCACCCAAAAAUAUCUCAUGGAGCAAUGCUUUCCUUUUCGCCACUUCUUUUAUAUUAACGUGCAUCUCGAUGUGAAAACCUAAGGAUAUUACUGGGGCG